AAUUCUCAACCUUUAUCAGCUUUUGCUGAUGAUGGCUUGGAUAUGGGGGUUUAUUUUGCUGGCUUCUUCACAGAUGGUCAGCUCCCCUUAAAUGCAUUAGCCAGUGCCCCGCGUGGACUGUCUAUUGGUGUGAUAAUUAUCUACGCCGUGGACAUCUGCAAUCAUAUGGGUUUGCACUGCUUCCAACCGUCUGUUUAUUCAGACAAUAUAUGACA
rnacentral:misc_RNA from 1 species